UGUGGCGCGACGGAUUGGCCGCUAAAGAUAACAGCGCCUCAGUGAGCGCUGUGAUUGGCUGGUGUUCUCUUGGACAUGACGUUAUGCUUACUCUCUCCACACACACACACACUCACUCACACACACACGGAGAGAGAGAGACAGGGGCUCUGAGUGAGAGGGAAGACGUAAUGGUUUGAGUCCCCGUACGUCUGCCAUGGUCGUCGACCUGACAUUACUCGGUAAAUUCCUCGGACGGGAGGCGCAAUGAAGGCCGGAGCAUCGUCCAUGUGGGCGUCAUGCUGUGGACUGCUGAGCGAGGUGAUGGGCACGGGCACGGUGCGGGCACAGCAGCCGGGGUUUGGAGCCGGCGCCGGGCCAUUCCGCUUUGCCCCCAGCGCCGGCUACUCCACGUACCCCCCCACCAGCUCAGGGAGCGCCGGGCAGCUGUGUAAAGCCUGUGGGAUGGCCUUCUCCGUCUUCAGACGCAAGCACAUCUGCUGCGACUGUAAGAAGAGCUUCUGCACCCUGUGCUCCGUGCUGCAGGAGAACCUGCGCUGCUGCGCCACCUGUUACCUGCUGCGCGGUACUGCGUUCCAGAGGCCGCGGCUGAUGCAGCUGAGAGUCAAAGACCUGCGUCAGUACCUGCUGCUCCGUAACAUCUCCACAGACACCUGCAGGGAGAAGGAGGACCUGGUGGAGCUGGUGCUGCGUCAUCAGGGGGUGAGGGAGCACCAGAGGCCGGUGUUGGAGGAAGACGAGGAGGAGGAGGAGGAGGAGGAAGAGGAGGAAGACGAUGAUGACGAAGAGGAGGGGGAGGAGGAGGAUACUCCCGCAGAAGAGGAGGAGGAGGAAGAGGAGGAGGAGGAGGAAGAUGGAGGGGGUGAAGAAAUGGACAGUCUCCACUCACCCCCCCCCUCCAACGUGGCCUCUCCUCGCUCCGCUACCCGCUCCGCGUCAGAACAGUCAGUCCUCUCCGCCUCUCAGGGAGACGUCCUCAGCCCGAGUGACAGCUCAGGGACCGCGAGCCAGGACCAGGAGGAAACGGCGUCAGCUUCUCUCCUGAACCUGGACCCCAGUGAAACUAUCGUAGAGGUCAGUCCUGCGACUCAGCGGAGGAUCAGAGCCUCGCUCUCUGAUCUGGACAACGAAGACGCGAUUGAAAACCUCACCGUCCGCCAGCUGAAGGAAAUCCUGGCUCGGAAUUUUGUCAAUUACUCCGGCUGCUGCGAGAAGUGGGAGCUGCUGGAGCGAGUGCAUCGACUGUACAGAGAGACGGAGCUGAACAGGAAGUCCAUGGAGAACGUGAGCAUCACUGCAGUGGUUGCGUUUCCUCCGCCUCUGUGCGACAGCGCGGUCGGAGAUGGCGUCAAAACUCAGCUGGCGUUGGACGAGAACUUGUGCCGCAUCUGCAUGGACGCCAUCAUCGACUGCGUGCUGCUGGAGUGCGGUCACAUGGUCACCUGCACCAAAUGUGGGAAGAGGAUGAGCGAGUGCCCCAUCUGCAGGCAGUACGUGGUACGGGCCGUGCACGUCUUCAAGUCCUAGAGUCCGCAGCCAACGCACGCGGCCCGAACUCAAAAGUUUCGAUGGAGGUCAAAGAGCCGCGUGUGGCACCCGACAGCGCCACAGCAGGCGGGGACAAACCCGCGGUCCCCGGUACCAGACUGGAGCCGGCGGCCCAACACGCUCUGUUUCUCCUCUCUGUUACUAACUCACACUCCAGUUCCACUUCUCCCCCCUGGUGGACAGUUGACAGCUGCACUCUUCUCCGUCUCCGUCUCUCUGGGGUCUGACGACCACGCAGCAGACCCGCUCUGCCGUCACUUCCUGUUCUGUUUUUCGGUUCUGCCCACAGGGGGGCGCGGUGGGGUGGGGGGGGCUGUGUUUACUUGAAGUGGGUCGUGUUGUCGUGCGUGGUGAAGGGAAGCAGUGCAACGGAAAAAUAUAAGAUACCAGGGUUAAAGUCACAACAGUUUACAUCGUCAUCCCACCAGGGGGCGCUGUGUCGUCUCCCUCACGGAACGAAAGGACUGAGUUUUUUUUUGGGGGGAAAAUUCUUAUUUCUGAUCCACGUGCAUGAGUUAAAAUGGCUGCGUCCCAACCCAUCGUGGUCGAGUCAGGAAGACGACCGUAGACUGCAUGUAAGCCACCCGGUUAUGAAGUUCCAACUGCAGUACCACCGCACGCCAGCAGGGACAAGCUCUAGAAAGUAAACAUACUGAGACAAAUUCUUUUGGGCUUUUCGAGUCAAAAGUAUUUGCACAGAUUGUGUCGUUGUCACUAUCCCGAUUUUUUGAUUAUUUUUUUUUUGGAACGAGAGACGGAACUGAGCUGCGUUUACGUUUCUAGGUUUUGGAGACAACAUCGAGACUUUUGGUCGUCAAGGCCUGACUAAAGUUCCAGGCUCUUUUUCGAAAUGCAGCCUAACAUUUCCUCAUCCGUCAGUAAUUCACGAGUCACAUAUCCCAGAAUUCUUUGCAUCACAGCACUGUCGCCAGUCGAAGACACAGGACUCUGGACUAGGACACAGGUCAGGUGUCCCUCACGGAGGACAUAAGGUGCCAAACAUCAUGCCUUUGCUUGACAUUUGAGUUAGCAUUAGAUCGUAGCAACACGCACUUCAUAACCAGCAUCAGUGAACAACGUAGCAGAAAAAAAGAAAACAGGGUUUCGUUAAACAAACUGGAAAAACAUUAUCGGACGUUUGACUUAAACUCUCGGUCGAUGUCUCGUCACUUUGGUUGUUUACAUUUGCUGCAAGAGACACGUCAAAGACAUGAAAGUCCAAAGUUGUUUUUUACAUUUGCUGCGUUCAACGCCGCGCUUCUCCAUCCGUCAGACGCAGCUACUGUCUUAGCGUCCUCGGUUUACGACGUCCUCGACCUACAGCGUUUCAUGGUUACGUCGGUAUCGCCCAUAAAUUUAUAUAACAAAUUAUAUUGUCCCAUCAUUCCGUCGUAUUGCGGACGAAUGUGUCGUCAUGCAGCGAUAAACGCAGAAGACGUCUCCGAUUGUACGUCGUACAUUGGAUCGUACAACAUUAGCUUUGCCCUUCGUUACGGCUCCGGGCGUCAGUCGGACUCUUCUGAUCGUUACGUCUCUGAUUAUGAGGUCACCCACUUGAGCCUCACUUUUAAAACCCACAUACAAAUGCUAGCGGGAAAUGUAACGUACGAUUCCCUCAGGAGGAGCCAGCGAUGCCAGCGUUUUUAGAGUAACGUUCGAGGCGGGAUUUUUCUUGUUUCAUCGAGCAAUACCGUGUGAUUUCCACAAAGUAUUUCAUGGUGUCGUCUGUCAACGUAGAAACCUAGUUGGGUAACAGGUGCUAUUUUUCAUCUUUUUUUUUUUUUCUAAGUAAAUCGAUGACAUUACCUAGCCUACUUGUGGUGGGUCCACUCACAGUGAGAGGUAAAGAAGUUCUCCUUUACGUUCACCUUUAUGCAACUGAACGCGUCGUUUGUAUUUGCGUUUACUCAGAUGUGACUAAAAUAUUUGUGUGUGCAGUACGCCUGUGAAAUAUUUAAGAAAGAAAAAAAUGCGUAACUGGAGUUACCUGAAUUGCAGACAGUAGAUUCUAGGUUAUAUUGUUGUUUACUGAUCAGUUACUGAGUAAAUGUAUAUUUUUCCAUGUUCUACGGAGACAACAGAUAAAUAUGAAGGUUUAAAAACAAAAAAAGACGUUUUUUCCGAAUGUAUUUCUGCUGAUUCUGUCUCUCCGUCAACACCGACUCCAUCACCACGUGCUCUGGUCUUUGACUCCCAUCAUCCUCUGCUGUUGGUGGUUGAGCGCCACACACUGUAACAAACACUGUAACUCUGUCGGUCUGUGUGUCGAUGCUGCUGUUUCUCAAAGAUGUCAUUCCAGGGCAGCUAGUAUUCCAGAGUAGGACGGUACCACGAGCACUCAUAAUCCUGGAUCUUUAUAUUUUGGAAUGUUGAACCUUUUUAUUUUGGUAAACAAGAGAAAAAAUGAUUUAUUAGAUUCAAUAAAUGCAGUAAAAUCAAAAACCAACACUAGAAUUCUCUGACUUGUCGUUUUGUUACCGCUCGAGUAUGUCGGGAGUUGUUCAGGGUAGAAAUACUUUUAGACUGAAUAUGAUAAAGUAGAUGUUACUAAAGAUUAUUUUUAUUUACAAAAUUACUAGAACCAAGUAUAACAUGACCCAAACAUCAGAGAAAUAA